CCUACGGGUGGCAGCAGUAGGGAAUAUUGCUCAAUGGGGGAAACCCUGAAGCAGCAACGCCGCGUGGAGGAUGAAGGUUUUCGGAUUGUAAACUCCUUUUGUUAGAGAAGAAAAUGACGGUAUCUAACGAAUAAGCACCGGCUAACUCCGUGCCAGCAGCCGCGGUAAUACGGAGGGUGCAAGCGUUAUUCGGAAUCACUGGGCGUAAAGAGCGCGUAGGCGGGAUAGCAAGUCAGAUGUGAAAUCCUAUGGCUUAACCAUAGAACUGCAUUUGAAACUGUUAUUCUAGAGUAUGGGAGAGGUAGGUGGAAUUCUUGGUGUAGGGGUGAAAUGCGUAGAGAUCAAGAGGAAUACUCAUUGCGAAGGCGACCUGCUAGAACAUAACUGACGCUGAUGCGCGAAAGCGUGGGGAGCAAACAGGAUUAGAUACCCGGGUAGUC
rnacentral:rRNA from 1 species